AUGGGUAUUGAGCACAGUACGGGUAGGAUACAGGAUCCAAUUUAUUCGUCAUCCUCCACGUUUCAACGGCGUGGUUUCCACUUCCGUGAAACCGGAGCUGAUGCAGGUACUGUCUCAAGAGCUACAAACUCUUCUGGGCAAAGAGGCCAUAGAACAUGUUCCUCUUCCACAGAGAGAGUCGGGCUAUUACAGCAGAUACUUCCUAGUUCCCAAAAAGGGUGGGGGAGUGCGUCCAAUCUUGGAUCUUCGAGGCUUAAACCGUACAAUCAGAGCACUCAAGUUCAAGAUGUUAACCGUCAAGACGGUCGUGUCGCAAAUUCGGCAUCGCGAUUGGUUUAUCACGAUCGAUCUGAAGGACGCAUAUUUUCAUAUAGAGAUUUUGCCACAACACAGGAAAUUCCUGAGGUUCGCUUUCGGGGGCGAAGCAUACCAGUUUCGGGUUCUUCCUUUCGGCCUAGCCUUAUCACCCCGCACGUACACAAAAUGCAUGGAUGCAGCGCUGGCUCCAUUACGACUCCAGGGCAUUCGCAUUUUGAAUUAUAUCGACGAUUGGCUGAUACUAGCGCAAUCGCGAGAGAUGGCGCUACAACACAGGGACAUCGUGUUAGCUCAUCUAGUUUCUCUGGGGUUGAGACUCAACACCGAGAAGAGUGUUCUCUGUCCGACUCAGAGAACGACUUAUCUCGGGAUCGUUUGGGAUUCGAUCACGAUGCGGGCACAACUGUCUCCCGCUCGGAUCGAGACCAUUCAGCAGACCAUGAGCAAGGUCAGGCUAGGCCAGGAUCGCACUGUUCGUCAGUAUCAAAAGAUGUUAGGUUUCAUGGCUUCAGCAUCCACGGUGAUUCCUUUGGGGCUGUUGCACAUGAGACCGUUUCAGUUGUGGCUAAAAGCCAGAGGAUUUCAUCCGAGAGCCAAUCCUCAAAGGCAAAUAAAAGUGACGCGCCGCGGGCUUCGUACACUAUCUCUGUGGAUCAGACCCCGGUUCCUUGCCUUGGGUCCCACUCUAGGGGCACCGUGUCGUCGCAGACUGCUAACGACAGAUGCCUCCCUGUUGGGCUGGGGAGCAGUUUUGGAUGGCCACCCAGCUCAAGGGGAAUGGGGGGGUCGUCAGCUCGAUUGGCACAUCAAUUGCCUCGAGCUGAUGGCCGUAUUUCUGGCUCUGAAAUAUUUCCUCCAUCAUUUGAGAGACUGUCAUGUUCUAGUACGGGUGGACAACACAGCAACAGUCUCAUAUAUAAAUCACCAGGGGGGUCUGCGCUCACGCAAUCUGAACAAGAUAGCGAGGCAGAUUUUUCUUUGGGCCCAGGACAAGCUCCUGUCACUCAGGGCAGUUUACAUUCCGGGGCGUUUGAAUGUGGGAGCGGAUUUACUGUCCAGACAGACACUUCCGACAGGGGAAUGGAAACUCCACCCAGAGGUAGUGGAACAGAUUUGGGAAAAAUUUUACGAAGCAGAGGUGGACCUCUUCGCCUCCCUUCAGACAGCGCAAUGUCCCCUCUACUUCUCUCUGAGUCACCCAGCCCCCCUGGGUCUGGAUGCGAUGGCACACACAUGGCCCAGAAUGCGCCUGUAUGCAUUUCCUCCAGUUUCUCUGCUCCCGGGAGUCCUAGCCAGAGUUCGCCAACAAGGGUCUUGCCUCUUGCUGAUAGCGCCACGUUGGCCGAACAGGGUAUGGUUCUCGGAGAUAAUAUCUCUCCUCGACGGCUCGCCUUGGGCGAUUCCGGAGAGGAGGGACCUUCUGUCUCAGGCAGGGGGUACGAUAUUCCAUCCCAGGCCCGACCUGUGGAAUCUUCAUGUUUGGCCCCUGAAGGGUACCAGCUGAGGAACACAGGGCUGUCGCCGGGUGUUAUUGAUACCAUCCUUAGUGCUAGGGCUUCCUCCACCAGACGGAGUUAUGCCAGUAAAUGGGGUGUCUUUGACAGGUGGUGUGUGGUACACAAUGUAGAUCCGGUCAACUGCCAUAUUGCUUCAGUUCUGGACUUCAUGCAAGAGAAGUUGUCAACAGGCACAUGCCCUGCUACUCUUAAGGUUUAUGUGGCCGCUCUUUCGGCUUGCCACGCCUUGAUUGACGGGGUGCCACUCGGGAGACACCCUCUGCUCUCUCGCUUUCUUCGUGGGGCCAGACGACUGAGGCCUACAGUAAAGACCAAGAUGCCUUCUUGGGACUUAGCUAUAGUUCUCGAGGGUCUGGUUGAAACCCCCUUUGAACCUUUAGAGUCAGCGUCUGAUAGACUUCUAACUCUAAAAAUGGUUUUUCUCAUGGCAAUAACUUCUUUGAAGAGGAUUGGGGAUAUGCAGGCUCUGUCUAUCUCACCAUCAUGCUUAGACUUUGCCCCAGGGAGCGUGAAAGUGAUUCUGCAUCCUCAUCCUGAUUACCUGCCUAAGGUUCCGUUUUCGGCUGUACAUCCGGUCAUUCUAGAGGCCUUCUGUCCUCCGCCGUUCGCAACGCCGGAGCAGGAGAAAUCUUAUAGACUGUGUCCAGUCCGUGCUCUUCAGACUUACGUCCACCGCACUAGCCAGUGGCGUAAGUCGGAGCAACUGUUCGUCUGUUAUGGUGGUGGUAACAGAGGAGCAGCUGCCACCAGGCAGACCAUGUCUCACUGGGUCAGGGAUGCUAUUGCUUUGGCUUAUGAGGCGCGCGGUCAAGCUUCGCCUAUAGGUCUUAGAGCUCACUCCACAAGGGGGGUCGCCUCCUCUAGUGCUUUAGCAAGGGGUGCCCCCUUACAACGGGUUUGUGAUGCGGCAGGUUGGUCCUCUCCGCACACAUUCAUAAGAUUUUAUAGUUUGGAUGUCCAUGCUACUCCGGGCUCUCAUGUCCUUGAGUCAACAUCACAAGCUAAUGUCUGA
ensembl:lncRNA